UACGGGGGGGGCAAGCGUUGUUCGGAAUUAUUGGGCGUAAAGGGUUCGUAGGUGGCCGGCUAAGUCAGACGUGAAAUCCCUCAGCUUAACUGGGGAACUGCGUCUGAGACUGGUCGGCUUGAGUUUGGGAGAGGGAUGCGGAAUUCCAGGUGUAGCGGUGAAAUGCGUAGAUAUCUGGAGGAACACCGGUGGCGAAGGCGGCAUCCUGGACCAACACUGACACUGAGGAGCGAAAGCCAGGGGAGCAAACGGG
rnacentral:rRNA from 1 species